UCCAGGAUGCGGGCCCCGCAGGCUAGAUGGAUAAGCUCAAAGCCAAUCCAAGAUGUGAGGUGUCCUAUAAAGAGUACAAAUCUAAUUUGAACUCUACCACAGGGCUAGGAUGCAUCCAGUAUGCAGUCCUCAUGCGCAUCACGAGGUGUGGGUCCCACUCAAGCAAGAUGUGGGGCCCACAAGGACAUAAGGUGGAACCUACGCAAAGGGCAAAAAGGGAAAAGAAGAUGGUCCCAACCCUAUAUAAAGGAAAAGGGUUCUAAUCAACCUUUUAGCUAGUCAAAUCUGAUUUGACUCGAACCCAAGGGAAUUGAAUACCGAAUCACAUUCAAUGUCAAUUGUGGUUUGACCUAACUUCCUCCACUCAAUCUAAUUGAGUCUAGUUGGUGAUCCAAUUACCAAUUGGUCUCUCCAAUAUGAGCAACAAUUUGCUCAGGGUAUAACGGUUAAUCACAUUGAUCAUUUUACCCUUUCAUGAUUCUCAGCCAGAAAUGAUCGAUCCAGAAAAAGCCUCAAAGCGUGUGACCUCACAGGUUCGAACUUAAGCUGGUAGCAUAGGAACACUUUCUGUACCAAUCGAUGUAACCAUCUAGCAAUGGAACUCGACGUCCAGAUAAGCCGAAAUAGAUGCAGAGCAACAUUAUAGAACCUAUGGACUAUGGUUACUGCAUAAUUCAUCCUCUUGACCAGAAAAUGCCCAGAAUAGGUUCAGAGUCUAUCUACCCUGAAACGAUCCAUCCGAAAAUAUGUUUCAAUUCAAUAAGUCAAGUAAUAGUGAUUUGACUUUCUCUAGCCAAGGUACUACUUAAUUGAAAACACAAGGCAUUCAUCCUUAUUUCUAAGGGAGGUCAAUCCCAUCUUGAUCUGCAACUGACUACCAUAAGUACUUGACUGGACCCAGAAAC
rnacentral:lncRNA from 1 species